CAGCAGCCGCGGUAAUACCGGCGGCCCGAGUGGCGGUCACUAUUAUUGGGCUUAAAGCGUCCGUAGCCGGGUUGGGAAGUCCUCCGGGAAAUCUGGCCGCUUAACGGUCAGAAUGCCGGAGGAUACUCCCAGCCUAGGGAGCGGGGGAGGCCGAGGGGAUUCCCGGAGUAGGGGUGAAAUCCUAUAAUCCCGGGAGGACCACCUGUGGCGAAGGCGCUCGGCUGGAACGCGUCCGACGGUGAGGGACGAAGGCCAGGGGAGCAAACCGGAUUAGAUACCCGGGUAGUCCUGGCUGUAAACGAUGCGGACUUUGUGUCGGACAAGCUAUGAGCUUGUCCGGUGCCGGAGGGAAACCGUUAAGUCCGCCGCCUGGGGAGUACGGCCGCAAGGCUGAAACUUAAAGGAAUUGGCGGG
rnacentral:rRNA from 1 species